UACGGGGGGGGCAAGCGUUGUUCGGAAUUACUGGGCGUAAAGGGCUCGUAGGCGGCCAACUAAGUCAGACGUGAAAUCCCUCGGCUUAACCGGGGAACUGCGUCUGAUACUGGUUGGCUUGAAUCCGGGAGAGGGAUGUGGAAUUCCAGGUGUAGCGGUGGAAUGCGUAGAGAUCCGGAAGAACACCAGUGGCGAAGGCGGUCUGCUGGGCAGUUGCUGACACUGAUGCGCGACAGCGUGGGGAGCAAACAGG
rnacentral:rRNA from 1 species